AUUGAACGCUGGCGGCAUGCCUUACACAUGCAAGUCGAACGGCAGCACGGGUGCUUGCACCUGGUGGCGAGUGGCGAACGGGAGAGUAAUACAUCGGAACGUACCUUAUCGUGGGGGAUAACGCAGCGAAAGCUGUGCUAAUACCGCAUACGCCCUGAGGGGGAAAGCGGGGGAUCGAAAGACCUCGCGCGAUUAGAGCGGCCGAUGCCUGAUUAGCUUGUUGGUGGGGUAAAAGCCCACCAAGGCGACGAUCAGUAACUGGUCUGAGAGGACGAUCAGCCACACUGGGGCUGUGAGACGGCCCAGACUCCUACGGGAGGCAUCAGUGGUGAAGUUCGGACAAUGGAGGCAACCCUGAUCCAGCAAUGCCGCGUGAGUGAAUAAGGCCUUCGGGUUGCAAAGCUCUUUUGUCAGGGAAGAAACACCGGCUCUAACACAGUCCGUGAAUGACGGCACCUGAAGAAUAAGCACCGGCUAACUACGUGCCAGCAGCCGCAGUAA
rnacentral:rRNA from 1 species